ACACGGGGAAACCUGUGCUAAUACCGGAUAAGUCCUUACGGAGAAAGUUUUAAUGCCAAAAGAUGAGCCCGCAUUUGAUUAGUUUGUUGGUGAGGUAAUGGCUCACCAAGACUACAAUCAAUAGCUGAUUUGAGAGGAUGAUCAGCCACACUGGGACUGAGAUACGGCCCAGACUCCUACGGGAGGCAGCAGUGGGGAAUCUUGCACAAUGGGCGAAAGCCUGAUGCAGCGAUGCCGCGUGAGUGAAGAAGGCCUUUGGGUUGUAAAGCUCUUUUGUCGGGAAAGAUAAUGACUGUACCCGAAGAAUAAGGUCCGGCUAACUUCGUGCCAGCAGCCGCGGUAAUACGAAGGGACCUAGCGUAGUUCGGAAUUACUGGGCGUAAAGAGUAUGUAGGCGGCUAGAUAAGUUAAUUGUGAAAGCCCAAAGCUUAACUUUGGAAUUGCAAUUAAAACUAUUUAGCUAGAGUAUGAUAGAGGAAAGCAGAAUUUCUAGUGUAGAGGUGAAAUUCGUAGAUAUUAGAAAGAAUACCAAUUGCGAAGGCAGCUUUCUGGAUCAUUACUGACACUGAGGAACGAAAGCAUGGGUAGCGAAGAGGAUUAGAUACCCUCGUAGUCCAUGCCGUAAACGAUGUGUGUUAGACGUUGGAAAUUUAUUUUCAGUGUCGCAGCGAAAGCGAUAAACACACCGCCUGGGGAGUACGACCGCAAGGUUAAAACUCAAAUGAAUUGACGGGGACCCGCACAAGUAGUGGAGCAUGUGGUUUAAUUCGAAGAUACGCGCAGACCCUUACCAACACUUGACAUGUUCGUCGCGACUCUAAGAGAUUAGAGUUUUCGGUUCGGCCGGACGAAACACAGGUGCUGCAUGGCUGUCGUCAGCUCGUGUCGUGAGAUGUUGGGUUAAGUCCCGCAACGAGCGCAACCCUCACUUUUAGUUGCCAUCAUUAAGUUGGGCACUCUGAAAGAACUGCCAGUGAUAAGCUGGAGGAAGGUGGGGAUGACGUCAAGUCCUCAUGGCCCUUACGUGUUGGGCUACACACGUGCUACAAUGGUAUCUACAACAGGAAGCAAGACUGCGAGGUCAAGCAAAUCCUUAAAAGAUACCUCAGUUCGGAUUGCACUCUGCAACUCGAGUGCAUGAAGCUGGAAUUACUAGUAAUCGUGGAUCAGCGUGCCACGGUGAAUGCGUUCCCGGGUCUUGUACACACCGCCCGUCACACCAUGGGAGUUGGUUCUACCUUAAGGAAAGGUUUCAAACCCUUGACCACGGUAUAGUCAGCGACUGGGGUGAAGUCGUAACAAGGUAGCCGUA
rnacentral:rRNA from 1 species